rnacentral:rRNA from 1 species
UAGUUUUUUACCCCCUCUCAGGAUGAACGCUGGCGGCGUGCCUAAUACAUGCAAGUCGAGCGAAUGGAUUAAGAGCUUGCUCUUAUGAAGUUAGCGGCGGACGGGUGAGUAACACGUGGGUAACCUGCCCAUAAGACUGGGAUAACUCCGGGAAACCGGGGCUAAUACCGGAUAACAUUUUGAACCGCAUGGUUCGAAAUUGAAAGGCGGCUUCGGCUGUCACUUAUGGAUGGACCCGCGUCGCAUUAGCUAGUUGGUGAGGUAACGGCUCACCAAGGCAACGAUGCGUAGCCGACCUGAGAGGGUGAUCGGCCACACUGGGACUGAGACACGGCCCAGACUCCUACGGGAGGCAGCAGUAGGGAAUCUUCCGCAAUGGACGAAAGUCUGACGGAGCAACGCCGCGUGAGUGAUGAAGGCUUUCGGGUCGUAAAACUCUGUUGUUAGGGAAGAACAAGUGCUAGUUGAAUAAGCUGGCACCUUGACGGUACCUAACCAGAAAGCCACGGCUAACUACGUGCCAGCAGCCGCGGUAAUACGUAGGUGGCAAGCGUUAUCCGGAAUUAUUGGGCGUAAAGCGCGCGCAGGUGGUUUCUUAAGUCUGAUGUGAAAGCCCACGGCUCAACCGUGGAGGGUCAUUGGAAACUGGGAGACUUGAGUGCAGAAGAGGAAAGUGGAAUUCCAUGUGUAGCGGUGAAAUGCGUAGAGAUAUGGAGGAACACCAGUGGCGAAGGCGACUUUCUGGUCUGUAACUGACACUGAGGCGCGUAAUUUUCACCUUCG